rnacentral:misc_RNA from 1 species
GAUGAAGAACGUAGUGAAAUGCGAUAGGUAAUGUGAAUUGCAGAAUUCAGUGAAUCAUCGAAUCUUUGAACGCACAUUGCGCCCGCCAGUAUUCUGGCGGGCAUGCCUGUUCGAGCGUCAUUUCAACCAUCAAGCCCCCGGCUUGUGUUGGGGACCUGCGGCUGCCGCAGGCCCUGAAAAGCAGUGGCGGGCUCGCUGUCACACCGAGCGUAGUAGCAUACAUCUCGCUCUGGGCGUGCUGCGGGUUCCGGCCGUUAAACCACCUUCAUAACCCAAGGUUGACCUCGGAUCAGGUAGGAAGACCCGCUGAACUUAAGCAUAUCAAUAAGCGGAGGA